UAUAGACAUUGAAAGAGUUGAAAAGUUUGACAUUUUACAAAAUGAUACAGCUAAAAUUUCUUGUUUGGAUAUAGACAUUGAUGCUAUUGAAAUGUUUGAAAUUGUACAAACUGGUACAACUUGCAAUAAUGAUGGUGAUUGUAACACAAUUAAUAUUUUAGAAACUUCAACAGCUGAGCUAACUGAAGUUUCUUACACAGAUUUGAAUGUAGAUGAUAUUGAAGUAAAUAGUGAUAUUACAAAUGACCCAAGUAAUAAGAAAA